rnacentral:lncRNA from 1 species
AAAGAAACAGUUGUAUUUUCGGAUCUUUUCUAGUUUCGAAAGCAGACUAAGGAAUACAACAGUGGUGCUUAAAGUGCCAUAAAGAAGAAAGUUUAAAGAUACGCCAUUUCUUCAGUGAAGAUGGAGUAAUCUGGGGGAGCAUGUUGUAUGACCUAUACAACACCUGUUGUUAGCUCUACAAGGGAUCUUGUGAUACAGGUCCCUGUAAAACCUAUUGCCUUUUGGAAAUGGGUGACUAUAGAAUUAAUUGCCUCUUGGCAAUGAUAGAGCAACGACCACCCCAUAUGAAAGAAGUGCCAGUACCUGAGAUUUUGAUGGUCUCUAGGAAUGUGAAAAUCAGAUACUUGUGACUACUAUAAAGUCUAUGUUAG